UAGGAAUUUACAUGAGGGUUUUACAAGGAAUUAGAUAUAAUAAAGAAUUAAGAAAAUAUCUCCUAAUUGUACAAUGAUUUAUCACUUAUAUAAAAAUAGGAAAGUAAAUUCCUUAAUUAAUCAAGGAAGUAAAUCUCCUUGAUUAAUUAGGAGACUCAUGUCAACACUCCUCCUUAAGUUGGUGCAUAUAUGUCACCAAUACCCAACUUGGUAAGUGAGUCAUGAAAUACUCUUCCACAAACAUCUUUGGUUAAGAUAUCUGCCAGUUGAUCUUCUGAUUUUACGAAUGGUAGGCGUAUGAUGUUUUUC
rnacentral:lncRNA from 1 species